rnacentral:rRNA from 1 species
CCUACGUGAGGCAGCAGUGGGGGAUAUUGCACAAUGGGGGAAACCCUGAUGCAGCGACGCCGCGUGUGGGAAGACGGUCCUCUGGAUUGUAAACCACUGUCCCCAGGGACGAAGAUGACGGUACCUGGGGAGGAAGCUCCGGCUAACUACGUGCCAGCAGCCGCGGUAAUACGUAGGGAGCGAGCGUUGUCCGGAAUUACUGGGUGUCAAGGGAGCGUAGGCGGGACUGCAAGUUGGGUGUCAAAUCUACCGGCUCAACCGGUAGCCGCACUCAAACCUGCAGUUCUUGAGUGAAGUAGAGGCAGGCGGAAUUCGUAGUGUAGCGGUGAAAUGCGUAGAUAUUAGGAGGAACACCAGUGGCGAAGGCGGCCUGCUGGGCUUUUACUGACGCUGAGGCUCGAAAGUGUGGGGAGCAAACAGGAUUAGAUACCCUAGUAGUC